UCUCUGGCCAGAGUUUGGCAGGACUGC
rnacentral:piRNA from 1 species